AAAAUGCGAAGGGAUGAAAUAUAGUCCCUAAUAUCAUCAAUAACUUGUCCCUAAUAUCCAAAAUUGAGCGAGACUAAACCCAAAAUAAAAUAUUGCUCUUAAAAAAAAUAAAAAAAAUUAGGAAUGGGUACUUUAACUAAAGCAAAUAUCAUCGUUGAAACCUAACUUCAUCUCAAAAAAACCCUAGACCGCUUCUCUAUGCGAGUGAAAAUCAUAGUUCCUCUUCUGCCUCUAUUAUGUUCAUCUAUGUUCCGGGUAGAUCGAGCAAUAACGAAAGGACACAAACAUACAAAUCAUUCUGGCUGUGGACUUGACCAUGAGCCCAAGAACUCUCCGAAAUUCUAUCUCAAAAAUCUAAAGAUUGAUUUCAAGUGUCUAUGGAUGCUCAGUGUUUUUUGAUGGUCCCUGUUUCUUUAUUUCAACGUUUUUGAGUUUGUACUACAGAAGACAAACAAACACUUGAACCAGAACAUAUUUUUGAGGCUUUUAGGUGCUUCACCUUACCUUGGUUUGAAGAGUUUCAGUUACAAGUCAUGAUGAGAGUUUUGAAGACUUCAGACAAGUUGUGAAAUUGGUUAUCAUUUGUUUGAGAAGUUAGGAAAAUGUAGAUUAUUAUUUUCCUAAAAAGUUGUGUAAACAAUAGCGUGCAUGUGCAUUGUGGUUAUAUUGCUACAAAUGUGAUGUUAUUACAUAUUUUCUAAUAAUAUACCAAUUUUAGA